CGCGCCGCUGCUCCGUGCGGCCCGCUCCCGGGAGCCGGAGCCCGGGCCUGGGCACUUGGCUCAGACCGGCGGCCGAGUGCGCGGCCGGCCUUCGGGGGGCCGGGGCCGCCUGGAGCUCGCCCGUUAGAAUUCCUCCAACUCGCCGAAGCCUUUUGGUGAAAGAGCGCUCGUUGCGUCGGAGGUUCUGCAUGUGAAUAAAGGCACCGGGUGUGCUACGCGAAGCAGCGACGAAUUGGAUUUUAUAGACCGCGGCGGGCACAGUACGGGCAUUGGCAUAUUGGAAAGGGGGAGAGUCAAGUAUAUCGCCCCAAAUUAAGCUUUACUGGAAGGGUGGCGGUUGAUACUCGGGUGGGAUUUUCCCCCCUGCUCUAAAUUCCUUAUAAGGCAGCACUCAUUUAACGAAAAGAUUGUAAAAAAGUAAAUACAUUUUUGCAUAGAAGAAAAAGGUAAAAGAGGAAACAAGCCAGAAGAGAGAAGAUCCCACCAAACACCAGUAUCAAAAAAGUAACCGACUGAUUUGGUAUCCCACAAGUUCACGUUAUUGCUGGGCCUAAUGAAGAGAAGAGAAGGAGAGAGAGAGAGAGCACACAAAAGCAGGGGAGCUGCAAGUGGAAGGAGCAGGUUCCCUGCCAAAUAAGGAACAUGAUGUGGGGAGUCAAUCCCAGGACUCUGGGGUCAUGAUUGGAGCUAAAGGCAGAUGCUUAACCAGAAAUUGACAAGUUGACACUGGAAUUAAUAUGGAAUAACACUCUUGUUAUUCCCCCAACAGUCUUAAAAAAGAACAAAUCUGGAGGACUCAUUGUAGUAAAUUUAAAACUUACUACAGGGGCACCUAGGUGGUUAAGUUAGUUAAGUUGCCACCUCUUGAUUUUGGCUCAGGUCAUGAUCUCAGGGCUGUGAGAUCAAGCCCCCAUUGGACUU